UACGGAGGUGCAAGCGUUAUCCGGAUUCACUGGGUUUAAAGGGUGCGUAGGUGGGCAGGUAAGUCAGUGGUGAAAUCUCCGGGCUUAACUCGGAAACUGCCAUUGAUACUAUCUGUCUUGAAUACCGUGGAGGUUAGCGGAAUAUGUCAUGUAGCGGUGAAAUGCUUAGAUAUGACAUAGAACACCAAUUGCGAAGGCAGCUGGCUACACGAAUAUUGACACUGAUGCACGAAAGCGUGGGGAUCAAACAGG
rnacentral:rRNA from 1 species